rnacentral:rRNA from 1 species
GACGAACGCUGGCGGCGUGCCUAAUACAUGCAAGUCGAACGCACAGUUUAUACCGUAGCUUGCUACACCAUAGACUGUGAGUUGCGAACGGGUGAGUAACGCGUUGGUAACCUGCCUGGUAUCGUGGGAUAACAAUUGGACACGAUAGCUAAUACCGCAUAAUAUUCAUUAUUGCAUGAUAAUUAAUUGAAAUGUGCAAUUUCACCACUACCAGAUGGACCUGAGGUUUAUUAGCUAGUAGGUGAGGUAACGGGUCACCUAGGCGACGAUAGAUAGCCGACCUGAGAAGGUGAUCGGCCAAACUGGGACUGAGACAAGGGCCAGACUCCCACGGGAGGCAACAGGAAGGAAACUUCGGCAAUGGGCGGAAGGCUGGACGAGGAACGCCGGGGGGAUAGAGGAGGUUUUCGGGUCGUAAAGAUCGGUUUAAAGGGAAGGACGGGAGUGAUAGUUGAAAGUGCACGCUGUGACGGUAACUGACCAGAAAGGCACGGCUAACUACGUG